AGGGCGCAGGGCGAAUGCCUUGGCACUGGGAGCCGAUGAAAGACGUGAUAAGCUGCGAUAAGCUUCGGGGAGCUGCAAAUAAGCAUUGAUCCGGAGAUUUCUGAAUGAGGAAACUCACCUGGGUUCAUACUCAGGUACGUUAUACUGAACUUCAAAAUAGGUAUAUCGAGGGAACCGCCUGAACUGAAACAUCUAAGUAGGGCGAGGAAGAGACAUCAAACGAGAUUCCGUAAGUAGUGGCGAGCGAACGCGGAAGAGGGCAAACCGAGAGUAGAAAUACUUUCGGGGUACGGACUGCUUUUAAGACUCAAUCUGUUAACCGAACGGCAUGGGAAGGCCGGUCAGAGAGUGUGAGAACCACGUAGGUGAAAACGGAGAGAGCUGCGCAGGAUCCAGAGUACGGCCAGACACGUGAAACCUGGUCGGAAUACGGGGGGACCACCCUCCAACCCUAAAUACUACCCAGUGACCGAUAGCGUAUAGUACUGUGAAGGAAAGGUGAAAAGCACCCCGGGAGGGGAGUGAAAAAGAACCUGAAACCCUGUGCCUACAAGCACCUAGAGCACGUCAAUGUGUGAUAGGGUACUUUUUGUAGAACGGUCCGGCGAGCGAUUGUAUGCAGCAAGGUUAAGGUCUUAAGGACUGGAGCCGAAGCGAAAGCGAGUUUGAAAAGGGCGUUAAGUUGCAUAUAAUGGGCCCGAAACCGGGUGACCUACCCAUGGUCAGGUUGAAGUGGAAGUAAAAUUCCAUGGAGGACCGAACCGACCUCCGUUGAAAAGGCGGCGGAUGAACUGUGGGUAGCGGAGAAAUUCCAAUCGAACCCGGAGAUAGCUGGUUCUCCCCGAAAUAGUUUUAGGACUAGCCUCAAGUUAGAUACCUGGAGGUAAAGCACUGAAUAGCCUAGCGGCCGAGAGGUUAGCGAAGCUUAUCAAACUCAGAAUGCCAGAGUAUUGAUGCUUGGGAGUCAGACAGUGUCAGAUAAAUGUCAUUGUCAAAAGGGAAACAGCCCAGAUCUACAGCUAAGGUCCCAAAGUCAGGUUAAGUGGAAAACGAUGUGAAGAUACGCAGACAACCAGGAUGUUGGCUCAGAAGCAGCCACUCAUUCAAAGAGUGCGUAAUAGCUCACUGGUCGAGCGUCUUUGCGCGGAGAAUUUAACGGGGCUAAACCUGGCACCGAAGCUUAGGCAAUGUAGAAAUACAUUGGGUAGGGGAGCGUUGUAUACGCGGUGAAACAGUAGCGCAAGCGGCUGUGGAGUGUAUAGAAGUGAGAAUGCCGGAAUGAGUAGCGCGAAUGCAGUGAGAAUCUGCAUGGCCGAAAGCCUCAGGUUUCUGGAGGAAGGUUCGUCCGCUCCAGGUUAGUCGGGAGCUAAGGUGAGGCCUAACGGCGUAGCCGAUGCACAGACGGUAGAGAUUCCGUCACCACCAAAAGAGUUAAACACAGGGACACAUUUGAAGUCUCGGAGCCGGGUGUUGGUUCCGGUAGCGAUCGAGGGAAGUUAGUACCGAAGUCCGGGAUGGAAGAUGGCGAGAAAAGCUGUGUGUAUUUCUGCGGUGCCCGUACCGCAAACCGACACAGGUAGGUAGGAAGAAGAUUCUAAGGCCAACGGGAGAAGGGUUGUUAAGGAACUCGGCAAAUUGACCCCGUAACUUCGGGAGAAGGGGUGCUCCAGAGAUGGAGCCGCAGAGAAUCGGCCCAAGCAACUGUUUACCAAAAACACAGGUUUGUGCUAAAUCGAAAGAUGACGUAUACGAGCUGACGCCUGCCCGGUGCUGGAAGGUUAAGAGGAGAUGUGCAAGCAUUGAAUCGAAGCCCCAGUGAACGGCGGCCGUAACUAUAACGGUCCUAAGGUAGCGAAAUUCCUUGUCAGGUAAGUUCUGACCCGCAUGAAAGGCGUAAUGAUUUGGGCACUGUCUCAACAGCCCGCCCGGCGAAAUUGUAGUACCGGUGAAGAUGCCGGUUACCCGCGACAAGACGGAAAGACCCCAUGGAGCUUUACUGUAGCCUAAUAUUGGGUUUCGAUGUUGCAUGCACAGGAUAGAUGGGACACAGGGAAACAAUCGCUUUGGCGGUUGCGGAGUGGCCGUUGGGAUACCAUCCUUGCGAUAUUGGAAUUCUAACCUGCGGCUCUGAAUCGAGUCGGGGGACAUUGUUAGGUGGGCAGUUUGACUGGGGCGGUCGCCUCCUAAAAAGUAACGGAGGCGUUCAAAGGUUCGCUCAGCUUGAACGGAAAUCAAGCAAAAGAGUGCAAACGCAGAAGCGAGCCUAACUGCGAGACUGACGGGUCGAGCAGUAACGAAAGUUGGAGUUAGUGAUCCGGUGGUAUGUGAGUGGAAAUGCCAUCGCUCAACGGAUAAAAGUUACCCUGGGGAUAACAGGCUGAUCUCCCCCAAGAGUCCACAUCGACGGGGAGGUUUGGCACCUCGAUGUCGGCUCAUCGCAUCCUGGGGCUGUAUUCGGUCCCAAGGGUUUGGCUGUUCGCCAAUUAAAGCGGUACGCGAGCUGGGUUCAGAACGUCGUGAGACAGUUCGGUCCCUAUCUGUCGUGGGCGCAGGAUAUUUGAUGGGAGCUGUUCCUAGUACGAGAGGACCGGAGCGGACGUACCUCUGGCGCACCAGUUGUUCUGCCAAGAGCAUAGCUGGGCAACUAUGUACGGAUCGGAUAAACGCUGAAAGCAUCUAAGCGUGAAGCCGACCCAAAGAUAAGAUAUCCCAUUGU
rnacentral:rRNA from 1 species